AUGGCAAUUCCAGCAGCAGCAAAGGGCGUUGCCACUCCAGAGGCAGCAACGGGCAUUGCAACGCCUGCUGCAGCGCUGGGCAUGGCAAUGCCGGCAGCAGCGACGGGAAGAGCGAAUCCAGCAGAAGCAAAAGGCAUGGGAAGCCCUGCAGAAGGAGCUGGCCUGGAUAAUCGAGCGGCGAAAACAGGAAUUUCAAGAAGAGUGGAAGCGACGGGCACGGGCCAUGGAGAAGCAGCGGGAGAUAUGGGAAGUCGCAAAGCAGAUGCGGUUGCAGGAAAUCCAGCAGCGGUGGGCGCAGCCAGUCCAGCAGCAGCAGCAGCAGCAGCAGUGGGCGCAGCCAGUCCAGCAGCAGCGGUGGGCGCAGGAAAUGCAGCAGCAGCAGUAGUGGUGGGCGCAGCCAAUCCAGCAGCAGCAGCAGCAGUGGGCGCAGCCAGGCCAGCAGCAGCAGCAGCAGUGGGCGCAGGAAAUGCAGCAGCAGCAGCAGUGGGCGCAGCCAAUCCAGCAGCAGCAGCAGCAGUGGGCGCAGGAAAUGCAGCAGCAGGCGAGGGAAACCUGGCAGUAGCGCCGGGGGUGGGAAAUCCAGCUGCAGCGCCGGGGGCGGGCAAUCCAUCAGCAGCGGAGGCGAACAUGACAUAUCUAGAGGAGGAAGAGGAGGCGGAGGAAGAGGAGGUAGAACAAAUGACAUACUCAGUGGCAGGGGGGAGCGUGACAUAUCCAGCGGUGUCGGUGGGCGUGACAUACCCAGCAGUGGCCACGGGCAUACCUUAUCUAACACUGGCAAAGAGCAAGACAAAUUCAGUGGCGACGACUACGACGAGCAUGACAAAUUCAAUGGCGGCGGGAGACAUGGCAAUCACGGCGGCGGGCCAGAUACAGCCAACAAGUAAUGCUAGCAGUCCUGCGUUUGCAUUUUCAUCUCCAAUUGUGAAGUCUACGGAGGCAGAAGUGCUAUCUACAUUUCCUGUAAGUAAACUAAUAAAGAAGCUAGACUUGUUUUCUUAG
rnacentral:lncRNA from 1 species